rnacentral:rRNA from 1 species
GAUGAACGCUGGCGGCGUGCCUAAUACAUGCAAGUCGAGCGAACGGACGAGAAGCUUGCUUCUCUGAUGUUAGCGGCGGACGGGUGAGUAACACGUGGAUAACCUACCUAUAAGACUGGGAUAACUUCGGGAAACCGGAGCUAAUACCGGAUAAUAUUUUGAACCGCAUGGUUCAAAAGUGAAAGACGGUCUUGCUGUCACUUAUAGAUGGAUCCGCGCUGCAUUAGCUAGUUGGUAAGGUAACGGCUUACCAAGGCAACAAUGCAUAGCCGACCUGAGAGGGUGAUCGGCCACACUGGAACUGAGACACGGUCCAGACUCCUACGGGAGGCAGCAGUAGGGAAUCUUCCGCAAUGGGCGAAAGCCUGACGGAGCAACGCCGCGUGAGUGAUGAAGGUCUUCGGAUCGUAAAACUCUGUUAUUAGGGAAGAACAUAUGUGUAAGUAACUGUGCACAUCUUGACGGUACCUAAUCAGAAAGCCACGGCUAACUACGUGCCAGCAGCCGCGGUAAUACGUAGGUGGCAAGCGUUAUCCGGAAUUAUUGGGCGUAAAGCGCGCGUAGGCGGUUUUUUAAGUCUGAUGUGAAAGCCCACGGCUCAACCGUGGAGGGUCAUUGGAAACUGGAAAACUUGAGUGCAGAAGAGGAAAGUGGAAUUCCAUGUGUAGCGGUGAAAUGCGCAGAGAUAUGGAGGAACACCAGUGGCGAAGGCGACUUUCUGGUCUGUAACUGACGCUGAUGUGCGAAAGCGUGGGGAUCAAACAGGAUUAGAUACCCUGGUAGUCCACGCCGUAAACGAUGAGUGCUAAGUGUUAGGGGGUUUCCGCCCCUUAGUGCUGCAGCUAACGCAUUAAGCACUCCGCCUGGGGAGUACGACCGCAAGGUUGAAACUCAAAGGAAUUGACGGGGACCCGCACAAGCGGUGGAGCAUGUGGUUUAAUUCGAAGCAACGCGAAGAACCUUACCAAAUCUUGACAUCCUUUGACAACUCUAGAGAUAGAGCUUUCCCCUUCGGGGGACAAAGUGACAGGUGGUGCAUGGUUGUCGUCAGCUCGUGUCGUGAGAUGUUGGGUUAAGUCCCGCAACGAGCGCAACCCUUAAGCUUAGUUGCCAUCAUUAAGUUGGGCACUCUAAGUUGACUGCCGGUGACAAACCGGAGGAAGGUGGGGAUGACGUCAAAUCAUCAUGCCCCUUAUGAUUUGGGCUACACACGUGCUACAAUGGACAAUACAAAGGGCAGCGAAACCGCGAGGUCAAGCAAAUCCCAUAAAGUUGUUCUCAGUUCGGAUUGUAGUCUGCAACUCGACUACAUGAAGCUGGAAUCGCUAGUAAUCGUAGAUCAGCAUGCUACGGUGAAUACGUUCCCGGGUCU